AGCAGUGUGGUAUAGCGGUAUGAGUGUUGGGCUAUGACUCUAGAGACCAGGGUUGGAACCCCUGCUCAGCAG